UACACUUGAGUACAGUGGUUAGGUGUGAGU
rnacentral:piRNA from 1 species